rnacentral:sRNA from 1 species
AAAACUGAUAUGUGUUAUGUUGAGGAAGAGGUUUUGUCUUUGUUUCAACAGGAAAGCUGUGGAUACCAUUAAGAUUUAUAAAGAUCAGAUGUGAUAUAUAUCUCACAUAUUUAAAUAUAUAUACAUUUUAUAUAUAUAUAUAUAUAUAUAUAAUCUUCUACAGGGUUACUGGAAAAGCAGGUAAUUUCCAACGAGGACAGGAACAAAGAGCAGUUGUUGAGACUGCCAGUAAGCUCAUUUCCCAGCAUGCAACCCUAACCAAUAUUGAUCUAGAUGAUGCUCAAAAUAUGCAUAUCAUAUUUAUUGGUGAACUGGCAGCUGGGGACUUCAUGAAGCAAAAAGGAGUCCACCAACAUUUGCCCAUUGGCUACAAUUGGAAAUGUUUUCCUUAUAUGGAGAUUAAACAUUCUCUCUCUGAGAAACAGAUCCGGACGUUUUUAUGAGGCAUGGAGAAUGUGAUACUCAGUCAUUGCCGGCCACCAUAUAUGGUCCUGAGGAUCGCCCUCACAACGAAGGACUGGAUCCAUUCGGGAGCAGAGUCCUUCACAGGCUGAGCUAUGGAAGGAAAGGAGAAUAAAAGCAUCCAACUAAGGGACCCGGAGACCACCGGACAAGUGAAAAAUCUGAAGAGAAAGGACCGGUCAUCGAGAGAAAAAGAGUAAGUUGGUAAGCGAUGUGGCCCACCUUCAGCAUCUCUGCUGUCCCCAUAGACAUAAGUGACAAAUGACCUGCAUGUGGUCAUUUAAAUUAAAUUAAAAAUUAAAGCUAGCUUUUGGGAUUGGAGCGUGUCUCUCCCCUUCUCUAGAACCACACAUGCUUGUUGAAAUAAAGUAUAAAAUCUGUCUCGUAUCACAAGAGCCACCGGGUCUGGGACAGAGGAAAACAAAAUAUAAGGGACUAUUCUAUUGUCAGUAAUCAUGUUUGGCUCUCUAAAACUUUUCAUAUAUAUACUCUGUGGUAAUCCUGGUAGCUAUACAGAGUACUAACUAAUUCUACAAACAAGCCUCACCUAGCUUCCUAUACGUGCUUUUGACAAGGGCCGGCCUCAGCCAGGAGAGGGGGUCCUGAGGAAGGGGCAUUUGGGAGCUGGGAAACACUGACUCAGACAGUCGUGGGUACAAGCUGACUGCUCUGUAGUCUGCUCGAGACGGCUCCCUAGGCAGUUCUCUGCUCAAGACAGCUCUCCUCGCACUACAAAAAUAAAAAAUAAAAUAAAAAAGUAAAAAAAAAAAAAAUCUAAAAGGUCUCUGAAUAGCUCAUGGGUUUCCGACCAAAUUCAGAAAAGCUGCUAGGAAAAAUUCUUGGAUUUUUCUGAAUAAGGUCAGAAACCCUGUUAGAAAAAUUCUAAAAGGGUAUGGUUUUCUCUCCAAGGAGUUCUCUCUGGGUAGCUCAGCUCUUGCGGACCAAAGUCCUGUCUUUUAUGUGCAUAUCAAUCCAAUCAUCCACCCCAGGUCCCCUGAUUCAUACCAGGAAUCAACAUUUCAGGACUUUACCCCCUGAUUCUUAGAAGAAAAAUGCCAACAAUUACAUAUUUUUUAACAUGGCAGAUGAAUUCAGAGAUCUGCCUGCCUUAGUAAGGCACAGACAAUAAGCCAGCUGGGUGCGGAUCUUGCCCUGAGGUUGCCAUUCCUACGACGACGCCUGGGCCUGUACCUAAUCUCCCUUCCUCCCUGGCUGACCUUGAACUCAGGAAUCUGCCUGAAUUUGUAAAUAAAAGCUCAGCUGGGUGGGAUCUUGCUGGGCAAUCACCAGUCCCUAAAUCUCUGUCUCCUUCCUUAAUAUCUUUCUGACAAGCUGGCUCAGAGUGAAACGCCCUCUGUACCUUUCAGGUCUCUGAACCCCCUCAUGUGAUUCAUAUCGCAUCCUGCAUUUUUGCAUAGCUGAGAAAUCCUGUUUGACAUAACCUCUGAACUCCUGUUUUCAGAGUUCUUUCCCACAGGGCUGUCCUGAAGCAUUUACCGUUUUGCUGAGGUUGUUAUUAGACACACCUUCGACUCCCAGACUCAUGCUGCUUCCGAUUAUCCUGGAGUCGCUGACCUUGGCGGGGAGAAUAUUCCCCGAAGGAAGAAAUAAUAAUUAUGUGCAUUAUUAUAUAAGUAAACCUUAUGCCUACCAGUGGCCGCCUCCGGUGAAGGCCCGAGUACUGCUAGCUCUCCUCCGGGGGACGGGAACUGUGCCACCGCCAUCCCUUCCACGGGGCUACGAAGGACUCCGCAUUGUUUACGGGUCUGACGCUGAAGCAGGUACCUCGGAAACAAGUUUGUGCACCUCGGAUGUACUUAAUACAUUGUGAGCCGGCCGAGUUACCAGAUAACCCGUCUGUUCCGCCCGUGGAAGUGGGUGGAGGUCUGCGUACCAAUUGUUCUCGGACUUGGAUUGACGAAAUUCCCUCUGGUUCUGGUUCUGGAGCACUGGGAUGAGGUCCGGGGACGCACACGCACAACUUGUCAGUAGGCAUAAAGAAAAAGUCCAGACCCUGUGCACAUCUGAAUGGCUGACUUUUGGGGUCAAUUGGCCAGGAAGGGGCAUUCGAUCUUCCCAUACCUGUGGCAAUCAAAUGUAAGACCCGUGGACUUGGAUCCCGAUCUGACAAUCGCCGGACUGCCGGACCAGGUCCACUGUAUAGUUGUCUGGAAAGAGCUUAUAACUGCCCCCCCCCCCCCCCGUUUGGGUUCCUCCUUUUCUCCCUAGCAGGGUUCUGACCUUCAAAGACUCAGUCUGAGCUGCUGGCUAGCUUGGGGAAGAAGACUGCAGGAAUCGGGAACUGCAGAUCUCCUCCUCCCUUGUUAUCCCCCCAGCUCUUGCCCUGAGUGCACCACCGGGGCCCCAGCCCCUGCGCCCCUUUACCCACUCUUCCCGGAGGACUACACGGGUCCUGCCAUGGAGACUCGGAUCUGUAGAGCUGUAUCCCCUGACACCACUAUGGCCCUCCCCCUGCGGGCCUUUGGGCCUGCAGAUGCAACAGGGAAUGAGGCCAUGCAAUGCUGUCCCCUUUCCACCUCUGAUCUCUAACUGGAAAGCUCAGCAUCCACUCUCCUCCGAUAAACCCCAAGGGCCUCACUAAUCUCAUAAGUUCACCCUUCCACUCUUUUCACACACCAGCCUACUUGGGAUGACUGUUAGCAGAGCUCUUGCAGGUCCUCUGCACUGAAAAGAAGGAAUGAAUUCUCCCGGGGGCCAGAAAAAACAUCCCAGGAAAUAAUGGGGUCCCGACCCUGAACACUGCUGACAUGGUCAAGGGAUUCCCCCCUCAGGAGGCCAGACUGGGACUACAAUGCAGCUGCAGGUGACCCUUCUGCAAUAUGUAGAGGACAUUCUACCUGCAGCAGAGGCUAAGGAAGGCUGCCUCAGGGGCACUGAGCAGCUGCUAAUAGAACUGAGUGAAUUGGAUUAUCGAACCUCCACCAAGACAUCCCAAAUCUGUCAAUGAGAGGUGAGCUACCUGGGGUACCUGUUAGAGGAUGGGAGGUGCUUGUUGUCAGAGGCCAGGAAAGAAACCAUCCUUCAUAUCCUUGCCCCCAAAGACCCCUAAACAUGUGCGAGAAUUUUGGGGGACAGCUGGCUUCUGUAGGCUUUGGGUUCCUGGGUUUGCACACACCCCCCCACCCCGGACUAAGACUGGACAACCAUUUUACUAAGAGGGAUCAACAGGCAUUUGGUGCCACUGAGAGGGCUCUUUCGGAAGCGCCUGCGCUUGGGCUGCCUGACAUCAGCAGGCCUUUCCAUCUCUUUGUGACUGAGAACCAAGGGAUGGCUAAAGGGGUGCUGACCCGACCAUUGGGCACAUGGAAACUCCCCCAGUGCUCACCUGUCAAAGAAACUGGACCUGGUAGCGUCUGGAUGGCCUACCUGAGGAUAACAGUGGCAGUGGUAGUCCUGCUCAAGGAUACGGAUAAACUGACCUUGGAACAGGACUUGAUCCUGACAGCUCCCCUCCUCCCCCACCCCCCGCCCUCAUGCCCUCCAGAAUGUGGUGUGACAGACCCCUGGCUGGUGACUCACUAAUGCUUGUAUGAUCCACUACCAGACUUUGUUCCUGAACUCAGAUCAAGUCACUUUCACACCUCCGGUGACUCUGGACCUGGCCACUCUACUACCUGACCCUGAUCCCUGAGGUACCUGCCCAUGACCAACCACUGCCUGAUGCCGAGGUUACCUGGUUCACCGACGGCAGCAGCUAUCUCUUAGACGGGUAGCGCAAGGCUAUAGAAGCCAUGGUAGAUGGGCAGCACGUGCUCUGGGCAGAACCACUGGCCCCGGAACAUCAGGCCAGAAAGCAAAACUGAUUGCACUCAUCAAGGCCUUUUGAUUUGGGAGCUGGCAAGAAGAUCAUCAUCUACACCAAUAGCAGGUAGGCUUUUGCCACUACAUGGGGCAUAUGGGGUAAUAUACCAGCAGAGGUGUCUCCUGGCAUCCAGCGGCAGGGAGAUUAAGAACAAAGCUGAGAUCAAGGCACUCUUGGGAGCUCUCCUCAAACCACUAAAGGUGAGUAUCAUCCAUUGCCCAGGCCACCAGAAAGGAGAGACUGUCAUAGCUAGGGGAAUCAACUUUGUGGAUAAAAUGUCGAAAGAGGUUGCUACUAAAGUCCCGGCCACUGUCAUGGUCCAACUAAUAGAGACAAAGAAAAGGGGGGCGGUGGAUGAAUGGACUAAGGGUUGACCCCUUCUAUGGUACACCCCAGAAGAAGUAGUCCAAAUCUCUGGUUACCCCACCAACUAUUACCUUAAAAGAGAUGGACAAUGGAAGACACAAGAAGGAAAAGUUAUUUUACCUGGGGUCCGAGCAAGAGAACUGUUUACCCAGAUGCGCCAAUGGACUCAUCUGGGCACCGAGAAACUAGUGCAAACAGUCAAGGGUUCUCGAGUAUUCGUCAUGGACGUGAGGUACCUGGCAGAGGAAGUAGUGGGAAGAUGCCAGGUUUGUCAACAAGUAAAUGCCAGCCACACCAAGGCAGGGAAAGGAAAAAGGCUCAGGAGAAGUGGGCCAGGUGUCUUUUGGGAAGUGGAUUUUACCGAGGUCAAGCCUGGGAAGUAUGGUUACAAAUACUAGUUUUUGUAGAUACCUUUUCAGAGUGGGCAGAGGACUUCCCCACCAAACAGGAGACCACCACAAUGGUGGCAAAGAAGAUACCAGAAGAGAUUUUUUUCCCAGGUAAGCACAUAAGGUAAUUGGAUCAGGUAAUGGGCCUGCCUUCAUAUCUCAGGUAAGUCGGGUGCUUGCUAAGGUCUUGGGGACUAACUGGAAACUCCAUUGUGUAUAUCAUCCCCAGAGUCCAGGACAGGUAGAAAGGAUGAAUAGAACUCUAAAAGAGACCUUGACGAAAUUGACCUUAGAGACUGGCAGUGACUGGGUGGUGCUCCUUCCCUGGGCCCUGCUCUGAGCCCAGAACACCCCUUUGAGAUUCUCUAUUGGGGACCCAACCCACUGGUGGCUUCUGGACCUGACCUUGAGAUUACCAACUGAGGUGAUCAUGAACUUAUAAAGAGGCUGACAGCCCUUCAGACAGUUCAAAGGGAGAUCUGGUCCAAUCUGUCUGCUCUUUAUGCUCCAGGGACUACUGAAGUAACCCAUCAGUUUCAAGCCAGAGGCACUAUAUACAUCCACAGGCACUGGUCCCAGUCUGUAGAACCUCAGUGAAAGGGCCCCUACAUAGUCCUUCUAAUCAUGCCAACGGUUGUAACAGUGGGCAGAGUUGCAGCCUGGAUACAUACCUUUCAUGUAACGCCAGUUACCUGCCCACCCCCAGUUGACCAUCCCUCCUAGAACAGAGAUUGGAGCAUUUCCCACACAAAGAACCCUCUAAGGAUCAAGCUCAAUUGACAACCAAUGGAAAAUGGAACCCCUUCUCCUGCCGAGAAUCAUCCUGAUCCUAACCCUGCUCCCAGUCUUCUUUAAAAGAGACAUGUCCCAACCAACCAGCCAAGCUGACCCGGAGCGUGACUUCAGCCCUCAUGGGAGAUAAGGCUGUUGAGAAGAAUCCGACAGUGUUGCGUCUCCCUUGCUGGCUGAGGUGGACGUGACAACUGGUGGCCUGUACGGAGACCCGAGGACAUCCUUGUGGAUUCAGAACUCUUCAGUCUCAGGACGGCGACGUAGGUAAGGGACAAUAAAGCUCCCGGGUAAGGGACAAUAAAGUUCCCGGGUAAGGGACAAUAAAGUUCCCAGGUAGGGACA